AAUCAGGCAGCAGGACAAUCUCAGUGUGGGAGAACAACCUAAUCCAUCUUCUUCCAGCAGAGGGCAGCUGGGGGUAUCAUGGCAUUCUGAUGGGAUCCGGCGGUCUCCGGACGAUUCCCCCGGUGAGCCCCUGAAAACUGAGAAAAGGAGUCCUGUGCGGGAAGUGGAUGCUCCUAGUUCAGACCGUGGAAGCCGCAGCAACAUAUUCCGCGA